CUCGCUUUCUCUCGUCACGCGCGUGUGUACAGAACACGCAACACGUGCGUCAGGUGGAGAAUCCUUGUGAAGGGCAGCAGAAGCCAACAUAGUAUUUUUCAGUGUUUGUCACGUGAACCUCAUCAUAUCCGCAGUACAGUGGUAAGGGCAGCUCAUACCACCAUGAUGAUGUCACAAAGUGGGAAAGAAAUGCAGAAGUCAGAUGAUGAUGGCGGUGAAUGAGAAAAGAGUUGCAAUAAAAAAGUGGGCAUUAAGCAAGUGUUAGAAAGGGCAAAAUAAGAUCAUGUGCAUACUGAGUUUCAGUGCUUCAAUGGAUUUAGUAAGCAAGUACUUUAUUUCUACAGCUCCUUUCUAGAGCAAUCGUCAAAAAUUCUUCACUUCUAAGAGAACGAUUGGAUGACUUUGUUUCGCUGAAUAAAGUACUUUUAUGGCAUCACAA